GAUGAACGCUGGCGGCGUGCCUAAUACAUGCAAGUCGAGCGAACGGACGAGAAGCUUGCUUCUCUGAUGUUAGCGGCGGACGGGUGAGUAACACGUGGAUACCCUACCUAUAAGACUGGGAUAACUUCGGGACACCGGAGCUAAUCCCGGAUAAUCUUUUGAACCGCAUGGUUCAAAAGUGAAAGACGGUCUUGCUGUCACUUAUAGCUGGAUCCGCGCUGCAUUAGCUAGUUGGUAAGGUAACGGCUUACCAAGGCAACGAUGCAUAGCCGACCUGAGAGAGUGAUCGGCGACACUGGAACGGGGACACGGUCCAGACUCCUACGGGAGGCAGCAGUAGGGAAUCUUCCGCAAUGGGCGAGAGCCUGACGGAGCAACGCCACGUGAGUGAUGAAGGUCUUCGGAUCGUAAAACUCUGUUAUUAGUGAAGAACAUAUGUGUAAGUAACUGUGCACAUCGUGACGGUACCUAAUCAGAAAGCCACGGCUAACUACGUG
rnacentral:rRNA from 1 species